rnacentral:rRNA from 1 species
UACGGAGGGGGCUAGCGUUGUUCGGAAUUACUGGGCGUAAAGCGCACGUAGGCGGCUUUGCAAGUUAGAGGUGAAAGCCCGGGGCUCAACUCCGGAAUUGCCUUUAAAACUGCAUCGCUAGAAUUGUGGAGAGGUAAGUGGAAUUCCGAGUGUAGAGGUGAAAUUCGUAGAUAUUCGGAAGAACACCAGUGGCGAAGGCGGUUCUCUGGGACGGUACUGACGCUGAGACGCGAAAGCGUGGGGAGCGAACAGG